rnacentral:rRNA from 1 species
UACGUAGGGGGCUAGCGUUGUUCGGAAUCACUGGGUCUAAAGGGUGCGUAGGCGGGCUAUCAAGCAAGGGGUGAAAGUCCAUGGCUUAACCAUGGGAUUGCCUUUUGGACUGAUAGUCUGGAGUGCAGGAGGGGAGAGCAGAAUUCCCGGUGUAGGGGUGAAAUCUAUAGAUAUCGGGAAGAAUACCGGUCGCGAAGGCGGCUCUCUGGUCUGCAACUGACGCUGAGGCACGAAAGCGUGGGGAGCGAACCGGAUUAGAUACCCUGGUAGU